rnacentral:lncRNA from 1 species
GUAAAAUAAAAGGAGAGAUACUUUUUGGAGAAUUUUCUAAGUUUGGUAAUAGAUCCAUAAAUAAAAUUUUAAAACUUUGUGGAUUUAUAUGUGUUCAAUAUAUGCUUUGAUUUUGAGCUUGAUCGAAGGAUUGGAUCUAGGGUUACUGAGGUUUAAGUAGAUUAGGAUCUCAAGAAGUAGAAUUUUAGGUCUAGUGAGGAUUUCUAAGAUUUCUUGCAAUCUAUUAGUUGGAUUGGAG